rnacentral:lncRNA from 1 species
CGGCUGGAGCCGAGCUUCCUGAUACCUAGUGAGCCGCGGUGAUGACAAAUGAAAACAAUAAGCUGUUUCCUAGACAAACAGCUGCCUAGUUUCGCUCUGUCGCCCAGGCUGGAGUGCAGUGGCACAAUCUCGGUUCACUGCAACCUCUGCCUCCCGGGUUCAAGCAGUUCUCUUGCCUCAGCCUCCCAAGUAACUGGUACUACAGAGAAUUGAUACAAAAAAUGAUCAUGUGAAGAAUUUGCAUCUUCUGCAGAACUACCGGUAUCAGUCAGCAGUAGGAGAUUGUAUAAAUUCAGCCUGAGAUUCCAGAAUAUUCUGUGUAUUGACCACCACAGCAAGAAGAAAAAGUCCAUGUAGGACUGAAAUGUCCUGCUCCCUGCCUGCCCAUCUUCGACCUCAGCCCUCCUCCUCCAAAGCAGUCCCUCAGAACCCCUCCUGGUUUCAGUCUGGAUCCCACCACAUGUUGAAUGGCACCCUCUCAAUCUGGGACAGCGUCCGUUGAUUUUCUCCUGUGAUAAAUGAGGAUUGGAAGAGUAUGAGGACCAUGGCUUAUUCUUAUUCACCAUUAUGUCCUUACAGUGCCUGGAGUAGGGAUGGCACAGAAGAACUAUUCAGCACAUGAAGCAGUGAAUGAAAAGACAAAAGGGCAAGAAAAGGAGAGAACAGUGGAGAAAAAAGAUUUUAAUUAAAUACAUGUGGGAAUUUAUCUCUGGCUAUUAUUUAUUCCACCAAGUACACGGAUGUAUGAAUUCAUUUAGCAAACCUUUCUUUUUUGCACAUUUGCUAUGUAUUAAGUGUUAGAUAUACAAAGAAAGAUAAGAAAGACACAAUCUUUUUUCUUAAGGGGUUCUAAAUCAAAUAGAAAAUAUAGAGUUGUAAAAUAAUAUUUAUAAUACAAUAAAUGUUGUGUCCUCAUAGUUCUCUGAAAGCAAAACAGUAGCUGAAAUAUAAACGAUGAUGUUUUCAUGGAAGAGGAGGAAGAAUGAGGCUCCUACUAUGUGUGACCUGGUGCAUACAUUAUCUCAGUUGAUCCUCAGAGCAAGCUUUUCAUGGUCUAUGUGGUCUGUCCUUUGUUUAUUCUACAGCUGAGGGAUCAGGCUCAGGGAGACUUGAGUUUUGCCCCAGAUCACACAGCCAGCAAGUGACAGAGACAUGAUUCCAUCCAAAUCUUCUGACUUUAAACCCUCCUGCUCUGUGAAUGUUGAGUACCUGACCCAGGUGACUUUUCUGGAGCUUAACCUUGCUCUGACAUAAGAUCAGAGGGAAGAAAACACACUGUUUGGUUUAAGAAGAUUGUCCUGACUCUAACACCCUUGGGGCCUUUAGGGGGAAAGCAAACUCCUGCUUGUUGGCCUCACAAGACAUUUAGCCUCAGCAGCUGGAUUCUGUUCUAAGGAGGCCUGGUUUUCUCAUC